CUAUGUUCGCUAGCCACGCCGCGGCCAGGCUGGGACUGAAACUCGAGUUGUCGCAGGAAGGCCACAUUGGCGUGCCCGCCGGGCAGUUGCUCGGCGGUUGGGAGCGCCGGCGCACAUGGUUCGUCUAACUCCGAUAGUCCGUUGUUGCCCCUGCAUCUACUGUUGGUUUGUCUGCUCUUUCUGCUUGGUCGCCCUUUGUUCUAUGAUUUUCGACUGCUGCUGAUGAUGAUUCGAGGUGCGCAAUUUGGCUUGGUAAACGGCCGAUCAAACCUGCUGAUAGUUGUUCACGAGUGGCCUGGUUUGCCAUAAUGUAUUAAGUUUGGUCCAUCUAACCUGAAAUCGAUUUGGAAUUUGCUGGCAGAACAUGAUAAAUCAGGUACUUAAGGAUGAAUUUAUUCCAGCUGUUGAGGAAGAUUACAGUAUCAGCUGGAGAAAUUGCAAGGAAGAAAGAAAAAGUGUAGGCCCUCCCACAGAGUAAGCAGGAAUGGAAAUCAGUGAAAAGGCAAAGAGGUGGAGUUGAGCUGCAAUGAUCACAUACCCUACACUUGCUGGAUGAUCACCAGAGAAAGAUGAUUCUCUGUAAAUUCCACGCAUGCCUCAUCACGAAGCGAUGGACUAGCAAUCUCCAAGCUUUCAUUUGGUCUCAAAAGCAAUUAAUUUUCGCCUUUCAAAAGAUCACCAUUUGAAUCAGAUGGAGGAGGCCACAUUUGGAGAGAAUUGUUCAAGGGGAAAUGAAUCCUCACUGCCGCUUAAGCAAUCUGCCCGCCAUACCCAGUUCAUGCCGCGUCAAUUGAUGCUGCUUCCAAUGAUAUUUCUAAGAGCGUGCAAGCCACCAUAAUAACCAAUUUUGUAACAGUAUGUAAGCUGCUCAUAAUAGUGCUAGGAGCAUGCAAGCCAUCAUAAUAGUGCAUUUUAAGAUGGCUGGUAAUGAA